rnacentral:pre_miRNA from 1 species
UUUGUACUCCCUCCGUCCCAAAAUUCUUGUCUUAACUUUGUCUAAAUACGGAUGUAUCUAGUUACAUUUUAGUGUUAGAUACAUCCGUAUCUAAACAAAUGUAAGACAAGAAUUUUGGGACGGAGGGAGUACUAC